rnacentral:rRNA from 1 species
AAUAGAUACUCCGGUAGUCCAUGCCGUAAACGAUGUCUACUAGCCGUUGGGGCCCUUGAGGCUUUAGUGGCGCAGCUAACGCGAUAAGUAGACCGCCUGGGGAGUACGGUCGCAAGACUAAAACUCAAAUGAAUUGACGGGGGCCCGCACAAGCGGUGGAGCAUGUGGUUUAAUUCGAUGCAACGCGAAGAACCUUACCUGGCCUUGACAUACAGAGAACUUUCCAGAGAUGGAUUGGUGCCUUCGGGAACUCUGAUACAGGUGCUGCAUGGCUGUCGUCAGCUCGUGUCGUGAGAUGUUGGGUUAAGUCCCGCAACGAGCGCAACCCUUUUCCUUAUUUGCCAGCACUUCGGGUGGGAACUUUAAGGAUACUGCCAGUGACAAACUGGAGGAAGGCGGGGACGACGUCAAGUCAUCAUGGCCCUUACGGCCAGGGCUACACACGUGCUACAAUGGUCGGUACAAAGGGUUGCUACUGCGCGAGCAGAUGCUAAUCUCAAAAAGCCGAUCGUAGUCCGGAUCGC